rnacentral:lncRNA from 1 species
UUUUUUUGAGAGAGGAAAAGACGUUUUAUUUAUUUUUUAAAAAAAUAAAUUUACUUAAAAAUAUGAAUCAAUUAUGAUUCGAAUUUAAAAUUUUGGGUAUUAAUUAUUAAGUCCUGUGCCACUUGCGUUAGGGACUGUCGAUACAGGUCAACUUAUUAUAGAGAAUAAUAUGUUUUGAAAAACUAACUUAUUAAUAAUAUUUUAAAAUAAUUGUAUUAGGUAAGCCCGAGGGUCAGUGCUUCUUACGUAGCCAUUCCAAUAUGUAUUUGGAGUCAUGUGGCAAAGUCUGGAAAUUAAGCUUCAAAAAUUUCUAGAAGAUUGCAGAAGAAAAUUUAGCAAGGUGGAGUAGAAGACAAGCCAGGGUACUGCAAGAACUGAAAAAAACGAAGUGCUUAGUUGGAAGCUUUUUCCAGAGGUUCCUAUUGGCUUUUUCUCACAGAGAUUCCAACAUUUAGGAAAUGCUAUUGUGUACUAUAAUAUUUUUAAUGUUUAGAAAAUGUCACCGGCUAUUUGUAGUGCGAGCGAUAAAAAAUUUGAUAGUUGGUAGUCGAGAUCUCAAGUUUUGAAUCUCAAUUGAUUCACAUUUUUAGCUAAGUUUAUUUCUAAAGAAAUAAACGAAAUGGAUAGCAUGCGCCCAGCUGAGAUGUUUUUAAAAAUACAAAAUUAUUGGUUUAAAGGAACUAUUAUUCUGUCCUGUGACAGAAUGUCAAAUUGAGUCGAAUCACGUUCGUAAUGACAGAAGACUAGGUUGGACCAAGUCGUGUUCGAAAUAACGAGACUGAUUGUACCGAAUCACAAUUGUAACUCGUGAACGUUAUGUCUAUAUGAUUCAAAUAAAUUGGUUAUAUUUUUUUAACAACUUGAGUUUUUAGAAUUAAUGAUUAAUGCCAAUUAUUCGAUAAAUGGCAUAAGAGAUAAAGGGUUACAAGUUCAUUUUCUGCUUGCUGCGAAUUUGUGAGAAAAUUUUUAUCGAAAUUUGCGAGAGAGGUCGACAAAUUUUUUUUUGGUACUACUAACUUUUUGGCCUUUUGAUCAUGUAUAAUAAGAGCCCUCCCCACUAUGCCAUCGUUAUUAACUUUUGAUCUAAUAAUUAAAAAAUUUGAACUAAAAGCGCAAAACUUAUAACGGCUAAAAACUUGAUGCUUUUAAAAUGUUCAGGCUCAAUAUGAAAAACUAUAAGAUAAAAUAAUUGAAGUCGAGAAUUUAAGUGCCAUAGUAUAGAGUCGUAUCGGAAACUUGCUGGCACUAUACGGUAGAGUAUGCGCCAGGUGAUGCCGAUACGUGUUGGUCAAAAAAGAUAUAUAUAUGUGCUGUCAAGCAAUCCCAGCUCAUUCACAUAGAAUUUUAACAUAUAAAAGGUAAAAAAAUGUGUAGAAUUUAUCAGAACUUUUGUUCGUUUUGGCUCAACAACAUAAUCUUUUAAAUUUUUAAUUUUAAUAUUCAAUAUUUGAAUUGAUUUGAUUCAAGCCAUUUAAUAAUUCUUNAUUCGAAUUUAAAAUUUUGGGUAUUAAUUAUUAAGUCCUGUGCCACUUGCGUUAGGGACUGUCGAUACAGGUCAACUUAUUAUAGAGAAUAAUAUGUGUUGAAAAACUAACUUAUUAAUAAUAUUUUAAAGGAAAAUAAUUGU